AAUCGCGUGUAAAUAAUCGAGCAAGAGGUCGAAGGGUCGGCUUUAGUUGAGGUAAGUCUGUCGUAACGCUCUCUCCUGUACUGACUUUCCUUCUGCUGUUUCAUCGCCCGUUUGUCGACGUCGACAACUUUAAAACACAGACUUGCAUUAAUAGCAAAGAAUCGAAAUGGGUGGUGAUGCAGAACCUCCGUUUGAACUGAAGGGAUUUCAGAAGUAUUUUAACUCAUAUACUCAGAAGGGGAGAGCAAAUGUGGUGGUCUUUUCAUUAGCUCUUGCAGCAGUUGGAAUAUUCGCGGCCACAAGACCGAAAAAGGCUUCAUGAUUGCAUCUAGACACGUUUUUUGUUGAACCUGAUUUAAAUUAAAUGCUUUAUUAAAUACAA